ensembl:lncRNA
UGCCCUUGUGUUGCCUUCACUUACAUUGAAGUUUAAUAAUGAAGAAAUUAUUAUCCUAAUAAAAACUAAGCUCUUCUCUUUGUGAUCUGUUUUCUUCCACAGCUUCAAGUCAACAAUGUGAAGGGCAGAAUCAAUGGAAGGAACAUCCAGUGUCAAUUUGAUGCCACAGUACCAGUCUCUACUAGCGCCCAAACUAAAGCAGCCACAGACAGUACAAGUUUCUCAAUGUCAGUCUCCACUGGAACUUAUAAUGCCACUUCAGGGGAUCUGGGUAGCCCUGCUUUCCAAAUAACAACUAAUGUGGUAAACCUGAGUGAUGUUAAUGCCACCGUCACCAAUUUGGUUAGUUCCAACUCCACCAACACCACCACCACCACCACCACCAAACCCACCACCACCUCUGCUGCUAAUGCAAUUACAAUCCAGCAAUCAAUGAUGCAAGCUUUGCUGAUCACUGUGGGCAUCCUGACUCUGAGCUGGCUAUAAGGAAACUGAAACCUGCCCUACAUAACAGAUUAAAACUUCCCUAUCCAACCAUGCUACUAUUUUUAAACUCACAGGUUUACUAUCAACAGUAUGUCCCAGACUCCUAUGAUUAAUUUUGUGGGAAAAGGUCACAUUACAAAUCAGGACUGGUGGAGGGCAAUCACUUUCGAGAAGCUUUUUUUAUACUGCUUUUACAUGCAGUUAGAGAUUUGGUUGGAAUCAUUUGCAGAACUCUUUAAAACGGUGUGGUAAGAUGGGGCACAACUGCAUUAUUAAGAGUAACCGAACACAUAGUUUGAAUUAAGUGAACCAGAAUCACGGCUUUUACCAGUGUGUGCAAUUUAUGCAAAUUUUGGGUAAAGGGUCUGGUACCCUUUAAAGCCCACAUUUUUAUUGCUAAGCAAAAACAUUCGGUAAGUUUAUGGUUACUUUGAUUAUUAAACUGCUAAACCGUGUAAACAGAAACUGCUGGUAAACCAUUGUUUGCCUUUGUCUACCCUUAGAACACCAAAAGCAAAAUUCAUUUGCUGAUGAUGACAAUGAUGCCAGCAAAUGGCAGAGGUGCAUUUAAAAACAAUUAUGUUCUGAUAGUAUAUUUCUAUUAUAUGUUGUUUAUAUGAAUGCUGUUUGUUCAGCAGUACCUUUACAAUGAUGCCUUCAGUGGCUGAUGUUCACAUGUGUUGCUUGCUUUUUAGCAGGUGUUCACAAAUAAUGCUAUAUGUGGUACUACUGAAGAUGCUCGUGUAAUGAUUUUGUAUUACAUGUUUAUAAUUAAAUAUUUAUCAAAAAAAUAUUUUGUGUGUUUUCUGAUGGAUGUUGCUAGAUUUGAAUUGGAACUUUUAACGUUUAGUCAAUUUUGGGUGUUCUCAAAUGAAAUUACUUAAAACUACAAUAUUUUCACUACAUGCACUUUUCAUGCGGUGCAGUUGUGUCUUGCCAUAUAUUAAAGAGUCAGCCAGAUAAGUCACUGCCCAGAGCUUGUGACCAUAAGGAUACGAAUGCUGAUCAAUAUGAAGUGACACGUUCACUAUCUAGCUCAGAUCUCUCUCCACCCAAACAGAGCAGCACAGCAGCCACAUCAGUGUCAGGAGCCUGAGAUCCUCAACAUAUCCUAGAAACUUGCUCCCAAACCGGAGCAGGUGAAAACCAUGACAUUGAACUUGAGGAUGUUAAUUCUUAUCCCAACACUCACCCAGGAAAACCCCCAGUGCGAGUUAGAGAUCACGGUCUGAUGAAGCCGGGAGAAAAGCAUCAUCUGGAAAGUGCAGAAACGAGAUCCUGAGACCACCACCUUGAAUGCAACUAAAAAUUCUGUCCAUAAAUAUAAUGAACAAAAUCUGUGACAAAGGGCAGCUUUGUAGUCCAACAGCAAACAAGUGCAUACAAACAUGUAUGACAUGUCAACUGAUCCAACAUCUCUAUAUUUUGAUUACUUUGAGCUUGGGAAGAUCCUCAUCCAGAUGAUUAUUACAGCAGUGGAGUCAUUCUUCUUCAGCGUGACCUAAAGAGCGUUCAUUUCCACCUUGAAUCCUAUGUGUGUUUUUUUUUUAUUUAAGACCCAUGUCAAACAUUUACUAAAUAAAUAAUUCCAUUUAUUAAAACUGGGUGGAACUGGA